rnacentral:rRNA from 2 species
UAAUACCGCAUAAAUCCAAGAACCGCAUGGUUGGCUGAAAGAUGGCCUAUCGCUUUUGGAUGGACCCGCGGCGUAUUAGCUAGUUGGGGUAACGGCUCACCAAUGAUACGUAGCCGAACUGAGAGGUUGAUCGGCCACAUUGGGACUGAGACACGGCCCAAACUCCUACGGGAGGCAGCAGUAGGGAAUCUUCCACAAUGGACGCAAGUCUGAUGGAGCAACGCCGCGUGAGUGAAGAAGGCUUUCGGGUCGUAAAACUCUGUUGUUGGAGAAGAAGGCAGAGUAACUGUCGGCGUGACGGUAUCCAACCAGAAAGCCACGGCUAACUACGUGCCAGCCGGUAAUACGUAGGCAAGCGUUAUCCGGAUUUAUUGGGCGUAAAGCGAGCGCAGGCGGUUUUUUAAGUCUGAUGUGAAAGCCCUCGGCUUAACCGAGGAAGUGCAUCGGAAACUGGGAAACUUGAGUGCAGAAGAGGACAGUGGAACUCCAUGUGUAGCGGUGAAAUGCGUAGAUAUAUGGAAGAACACCAGUGGCGAAAGCGGCUGUCUGGUCUGUAACUGACGCUGAGGCUCGAAAGCAUGGGUAGCGAACAGGAUUAGAUACCCUGGUAGUCCAUGCCGUAAACGAUGAAUGCUAGUGUUGGAGGGUUUCCGCCCUUCAGUGCCGCAGCUAACGCAUUAAGCAUUCCGCCUGGGGAGUACGACCCAAGGUUGAACUCAAGG